UACGGAAGGCAGCAGUGGGGAAUAUUGGACAAUGGGCGAAAGCCUGAUCCAGCCAUGCCGCAUGAGUGAAGAAGGCCUUCGGGUUGUAAAGCUCUUUUAGUGAGAAAGAUAAUGACGGUACUCACAGAAGAAGUCCUGGCUAACUCCGUGCCAGCAGCCGCGGUAAUACGGAGAGGGCUAGCGUUAUUCGGAAUUAUUGGACGUAAAGAGCGCGUAGGCUGAUUAGUAAGUUAAAAGUGAAAUCCCAAAGCUUAACUUUGGAAUUGCUUUUUAAAACUGCUAGUCUAGAGAUUGAAAGAGGAUAGAGGAAUUCCUAGUGUAGAGGUGAAAUUCGUAAAUAUUAGGAGGAACACCAGUGGCGAAGGCGUCUAUCUGGUUCAAAUCUGACGCUGAGGCGCGAAGGCGUGGGGAGCAAACAGGGAUUAGAUACC
rnacentral:rRNA from 1 species